AUUGUUUCUCAGCCUUUUGGCCAAGAUCAAGUGUGGUAAUCAUUCUUAUCAGUUUAACAUCUGAAAUCGCCUCUAUCCGAUGACAAUAUAUUUAACAGAUUUUUGGAGCAAGGAAAUGGAAUAGGGGUGUGCUUUAGCUACUUCAUGCUUCUAUCUGGUAUUGAACCCCCUCUGGGGAUUUGAGGGGAAAAAUCU
ensembl:snRNA U2 U2 spliceosomal RNA